rnacentral:rRNA from 1 species
CCUACGGGUGGCAGCAGUAGGGAAUCUUCCACAAUGGGCGAAAGCCUGAUGGAGCAACGCCGCGUGGGUGAAGAAGGUCUUCGGAUCGUAAAACCCUGUUGUUAGAGAAGAAAGUGCGUGAGAGUAACUGUUCACGUUUCGACGGUAUCUAACCAGAAAGCCACGGCUAACUACGUGCCCGCAGCCGCGGUAAUACGUAGGUGGCAAGCGUUAUCCGGAUUUAUUUGGCGUAAAGGGAACGCGGGCGGUCUUUUAAGUCUGAUGUGAAAGCCUUCGGCUUAACCGGUGUAGUGCUUUGGAUACUGGGAGACUUGAGUGCAGAAGAGGAGAGUGGAACACGAUGAGUAGCGGUGAAAUGCGUAGAUAUAUGGAAGAACACCAGUGGCGAAAGCGGCUCUCUGGUCUGUAACUGACGCUGAGGUUCGAAAGCGUGGGUAGCAAACAGGAUUAGAUACCCGUGUAGUC